GGGGGAGCAGGUAAAGGGUUAGCGUGGGGGAGUAGGUACAAGGUUAGCGUGGGGGAGAAGGUACAGGGUUAGCGUGGGGGAGCAGGUACAGGGUUAGCGUGGGGGAGCAGGUACAGGGUUAGCGUGGGGAAGCAGGUACAGGGUUACGUUGGGGAGCAGAUACAGGGUUAGCGUGGGGGAGAAGGUACAGGGUUAGCACUGAGGCUCUACAACCCUGUUUCAGACCCUAAAACUCCAGACUCUUCUCCCCCCUCGGCUUGGCUCUCCACCUCAGACUCUAAGCCUCUAGACUCUCCCUGUCUCUGACCCUAACCCUCCAGACCCUUCUCCUCCUCUCAGCUCCCUGUAUAAGACCCUAACUCUCUAGACCCUCCCUGUCUCUGACCCUAACCCUCCAGACCCUUCUCCUCCCC
ensembl:lncRNA